GCCCGCCUAGCUCAAUCGGAUAGAGCGUCAGACUCUUACCAGAGCCUGCUAGGGCAUUUCCGGAAAUCUGAAGGCUGCGAGUUCGACCCUCGCGGUGGGCU
rfam:Jaapia argillacea MTCL 33604 unplaced genomic scaffold JAAARscaffold_4, whole genome shotgun sequence.